rnacentral:rRNA from 1 species
UACGGAGGGUGCAAGCGUUAUCCGGAUUUACUGGGUUUAAAGGGUGUGUAGGCGGGCUUUUAAGUCAGUGGUGAAAUCUCCGGGUUCAACCCGGAAACUGCCAUUGAUACUAUUAGUCUUGAAUUUUGUUGAGGUAGGCGGAAUAAGUCAUGUAGCGGUGAAAUGCUUAGAUAUGACUUAGAACACCAAUUGCGAAGGCAGCUUGCUAAACAAAUAUUGACGCUGAGGCACGAAAGCGUGGGGAUCAAACAGG